GCACAGGCUUCAUUUUUGCCAUUUUACACAAAUUACCGGUAAACUUGUGUUUGUUAUAUUUAUUUUCAGUUUCAUCUUCCAGAUCUGUAUAUACUGGCUUGAUGGAAAUCCUUCUUUUGCAUUCCUGUCUUUUAUGCAUAAAUUUUGCAUUAUUGCCAUUUGGCUUCUUCAGCUUUAUGAAUUUGCUUGUUUCGUCUUGUCAAGAUCAGGUUUGUUCUGUUACUUUGUUUAUUGUGUUUGUAGUAUCUUUUUUCUGUUGCUUGCCUUUGCUUUGGCUAUUUGAUCUGAUAGAUCUUGAUAUAGUUUUGUUUUCUUGGUUUAUUUGGUGGUACAUUUUUACUGCUAUGUAUUUUUCGUGUUACUUGGAUUUGCCUUGGCCCUACGAUGAUUACGAUGGAGCCCUCAUCCAUGCAUGUAUGGAUCGUCUUAGAUUUGAGCUCCAAACAGGGCCAGCUGUUGCAUUCGCAAUGUUGAACCCACUGAAAAUGGCUAAUGCAGCACUGUCUUCUCUGUUUUGGGCGCUGAGGCAUGUGUCUUGGGUCAACCGUUGCUUCUGCUGACUUCAACCAUUGCUUCUGCUGAAGCUUUGGUACUGACUCUGGGCCAUGGCAAAAGGUCUUCUUCUUCUUUUUCUUCUUACUGGUGAACCAAGGCAUGCCCCAGUGCCAGCUUUGAAGCCGGCUGCAUUAGCCUGUGAUGAAACUGAAAUCUGAGGGUCAUAUUGUAAGACAACCUUGUUGGUAUUUUCAAUGGAAUCGAACUCUUUUGCAUGUGCUCACUGCUCACUGCCAAACUUUCCAUUUGUCAUUCUCAGAUGCAGGUUGGUUCUUCUGCAGUAAACGCGCCUUCGGCAUUUAAUGACCAAAUGUCUUGUCUAUGUUUCUUGAUUUUCUUUUUGCUUUCUUAUCUGUUUGUGUUUUUACUAUGUCUCUUUGUGAAACCUCAUUUACACCUUGACACAAUUAAUAUCCCGAUCGUGGGACGUGGCUUGCACUUAAUUUUUAUUUUGACAAAAUCGGGAAGAUUAAUUUUGUUCUGGAUGGUGGAUUGAAUAAUAGAAGUGUUGGCUUCUAUAAUGGACAUAAUGUAUUGCCCAAUGAUGAGAACAGAAAAUGUAGAGAUGGCACUUGGACAUGAUCAUCCCCUCCCUGUCCUCCUCCUCUCUCUCUCUCUCUCUCUCUCUCUCUCUCUCUCUCUCUGCAUGGAUGCGUAAUGGCACAUGCAGCAGAAGCAGCAGUAGUUCAUACCAGUUUAAUCUUUCACCUGCCUUAUGGACGUAUGGGAGAUCAUAUCUUGUGCCACCAAUGAAUGCUACAUCUAUGGCACCUGAGGGCAUGAUGUUUCUUUUUCAUACCUUACUAAUUACCGGAAAAUUUUGCAUGGAUAUAUUUAUUUUCAGUUUCAUCUUUCCAGAUCCGUCUGUGUUGGGUUGAUGGGGACCCUUCACUAGUAUUGCUGUCUUAUGUUCAGUUUUUGCAUCAUUUUUGCUUUGUUUCAUCAUUUUUGUGCAUUUGCUGUGGUUUCAUCUGAUUAUGAUUAUGUUUUCUCUGUUGAUUUUUCAUUACUUUGUAGUACCUUCUUAGCUUGUUUUGCUUUUCACCUCAGCGGAGGAAAAUCUUUGGUGUUUCAUGAUUUAUCAUGAGUGAUCACUGUUGUAAAUCAGCUUGCAUUUGAGUUCCAAUCUUGAAGUGGUAGCCCUUUACCAGGGUGAAGGUUUUGAAAUGGUCAAAGCAUUGUUGGUUUCUGUCUAAUCUCUAAUGUUUAUUAGUGGUUUUAAGUUAGUAUUUUGGUUAUGAUUUGUGCUUCAAAAUUGUCCAUGAAGUCUGAUACUGGUUGUAUACACCAAUUAGUAAUGCCUUCUAUAGAGAUGGCACAUUACAUGGUCCCUCCUUCCCCCCGUCUCUCUCUGAGUGUGUGUGUGUGUGUGUGUGUGUGUGUGUGUGUGUGUGCACGUGCCCAUGCGUGCACUGACAGCAAUUAUACAUGUGUUCAUGCCCUUAUUGUGUUUGCUUGCCUUCGCUUUGGCUAUUUGAUUAUCGAUCUUGAUAUAGUUUUGUUUUCUUGGUUUAUUUGGUGGUACAUUUUUACUGCUGUAUAUUUUGCGUGUUACUUGGAUUUGCCCUUGGCCCAAUGAGGAUUACGAUGGUCCUCAUGCAUGCAUGGCGGAUCGGCUUAGAUUUUAGCUCCAAACAGGGCCAGCUGUUGCAUUCGCAAAGUUGAAGCCCCAGAAAAUGGCUAAUGCAGCGCUGUCUUCUCUGUUCUGGGCGCUGAGGCAUGUGUCUUGGGUCAACCGUUGCUUCUGCUGGCAUCAACCGUUGCUUCUGCUGAAGCUUUGGCACUGACUCUGCGCCAUGGCAAAAUGUCUUCUUCUUCUUCUUCUUCUCCUUCUUCUUACCGGUGAACCAAGGCAUGCCCCAGUGCCAGCUUUGAAGCCGGCUGCAUUAACCUGUGAUGAAACUGAAAUCUGAGGGUCAUAUUGUAAUACAACCUUGUUGGUAUUUUCAAUGGAAUCAAACUCUUUUGCAUGUGCUCACUGCCAAACAUUCCAUUUGGCAUUCUCAGAUGCAGGUUGGUUCUUCUGUAGUAAACGCGACAUCUGCAUUUAAUGACCUAAUGUCUUGUCUAUGUUUCCUGAUUUUCUUUCUGCUUUCUUAUCGGUUUGUGUUUUUUACUAUUUCUCUUUGCGGAACUUCAUUUACACCUUGACCCAAUUAAUAUCCCGAUUGUGGGCCCGUGGCUUUCACUUAAUUUCUAUUUUGACAGAAUCGUGAUGAUUAAUUUUGUUCUGGAUGUUGGAUUGAAUAAUAGAAGUGUUGGCUUCUAUAAUGGAUUGCCCAAUGGUGAAAACAGAAAAUGUAGAGAUGGCACUUGGACAUGAUCCUCUCCUCCCUGUCCUCCUCUUCCUCUCUCUUUCUGUCUCUCUCUGUCUCUCUCUCUGUGCAUGGAUGCGUAAUGACGCAUGCAGCAGCAGCAGCAGUUCAUACCAGUUUAAUCUUUCACAUGCCUUAUGGAGAUCAUAUUUUGUGCCAUCAAUGAAUGCUACAUCUAUGGCACCUGAGGGCAUGAUGUUUCUUUUUCAUACCGUACUAAUUACCGGAAAUUUUUGCAUGGAUAUAUUUAUUUUCAGUUUCAUCUUUCCAGAUCCAUCUGUGUUGGCUUGAUGGGGACCCUUCACUAGUAUCGCUGUCUCUUAUGUUCAUAUUUUGCAUUCGCUUUGCUUCAUCAAUUUUGUGCAUUUGCUGGUUUCAUCUGAUUCUGAUUCUGAUUAUGAUCAAGUUUGCUCUUUUAUUUUUCAUUACUUUUGUAGUACCUUCUUAGCUUGUUUUGCUUUUCACCUCAGCAGAGGAAAAUCUUUGGUGUUUCAUGAUUUAUCAUGAGGGAUUACUGUUGUAAAUCAGCUUGCAUUUGAGUUCCAAUCUUGAAGUUGUAGCCCUUUACCAGGGUGAAGGUUUUGAAGUGGCCAAAACAUUGUUGGUUUCAUUCUGUAAUGUUUAUUAGUGGUUUUAAAUUAGUAUUUUGGUUAUGAUUUGUGUUUUAAAAUUCUCCAUGAAGUCCUGAUGCCGGUUCUAUACACCAAGUUUGGUCUUUUAGAUGGUGGUUAGAAGUAUUGCCCAAUGAUGAAAACUAAUAUGAAGAGACAUGGCUCUCCCCGAGUGCCCGCGUGCGUGUGUUGACAGCAGAUCUACCCUUGUGCCAUCAGUGAUUGCUACAUAUAUGAACAACUCAAUUCACAGGCUUUAUUUUUGCCAUCUUACACAAAUUACCAGUAAACCUUGGUUUGAUAAAUUUAUUUUUGGUUUCAUCUUCCAGAUUUGUAUAUAUUGCUUGAUGGAAACCCUUCAUUUGCAUUCCUGUCUCUUAUGUUCAGAUUUUGCACUAUUGCCAUUUGACUUCUUCAGUUUUGUGAAUUUGCUCGUUUCAUCUGGUCAUUGUCAGGUUUGUUCUGUUAUUUUGUUUGUUAUGUUUCUAGUAUCUUUUCUGUUGUUGUUUGCCUAUUUGAUCUGAUCGAUCUUGGCAUACUUUUGUUUUCUUGGUUUAUUUUGUAGUACAUUUUUACUGCUAUAUAUUUUGCUUGUUACUUGGAUUUGCACUUGGCCCAAUGAUGAUUAUGAUGGAACCCCCAUCCAAACAGGGCCAGCCUUUGCAUCCUCAAAGUUGAGGCCCCUGAAAUGUCUUAUGCAGCACUGUCUUGUCUGUUCUAGGCGCUGAGGCAUGUGUCUUGGGUCAGCUGUUGCUUCAGCUGAAGCUUUGCCACUGACUGAUGGGCCGGCCCAUACUGCUGGUCUAUCUCUCCUUCCUUCCCUUCCUUCCGGCUAAUGUGUCACUCUGGUGACACCGCCGUCCUCGUCGCCGACACCAUCGUCGUCGCCAUGAUCGUCUUGUGUCCUCUAUCUGCCCACCCAGACAUGCCCCAGUGCCAGCUUUGGAGCCCGCUGCAUUAGCCUAUGAUGAAACUGAAAUCUGAGGGCCAUGUUGUAAUACAGAAUUCUCCGUAUUUUCAUCUGAAUUGAACUUUUUGCACAGGCUCAUUGUCAAACAGCCAGCUUUCACAUGUAUGCGCAAUGGUGGAAUGCCACCUCGCAAUAUGUGGAGCAGUCCAUCCGGGCAUGUAUGCGCUGUCUUCGCCAAUAUCUUGGCUAGUGUAUGGGUAAGAUAAUUAAUCGAUAUCACUGAAACACCCACACCCAUACCUGAUUUGUUAGAUAUGAAGGCAUAGUAUCACACUCUUGACAGAUGUUACCAGUUCAUCCAAUGAUCAUUUUUGUACAUUUUUAUUCUUGAUUUUGUUUCUUUUACGUUAUUUUGUGUCACGUGUCAUAAAAAACUGCUCAUUUGCCAUUCUCAGAUGCAGAUUGGCUCUUUCAUAGUAAAUAUGGCAUACUUUUGGUACAGAUUUUGCGACCGAGCAUAUUUUAUACUCCGUCCAUCCAUUUUUACAAGGUGUAACUCCAGUUUUCAUUUUUCCAUUUAUACAAGGCCAUUUUUCCAUUGAAAUAUUGGCUUCUAUAAUGCAUUGCCCAAUGAUGAAAACUGAAAAUGUAGAGAUGGCACUUACAUGAUCCUCUCCUCCCCCCACCCCGCACCCGUCUCUCUCUCUCUCUCGCUCUCUCUUUCUCUCUCUGGAUGCGUAAUCACGCAUGCAGCAGCAGCAGCAGCAACAACAACAGCAGCAACAGCAGUUCACAGCAGAUCAACCUUUCACAUGGCCUUAUGGACAAAAGGAAGAUCAUUUCUUGUGCCAUCAGUGAACAUUACAUCCUACAUCUAUGGCACCUGAGGGCAUUAUGUUUCUUUCUCAUACCUUAUACAAAUUGCCAGCUAAGUUUUGAUUGUUUUAUUUAUUUUCAGCUUCAUCUUCCAGAUCCGUCUCCGUUGGCUUGAUGGGGACCCGUAAUUGGCAUUGUUGUCUCCUAUGUUUAGAUUUUACAUUAUUUUGUGCAUUUGCUGUGGUUUUGUCUGAUAUGAUCAAGUGUGCUCUGUUGAUUUCUUCAUACAUUUCUAGUACCUUUUCAGUUCAUGGUUUUGCUUUUCGCCUCAGCGAAAGAAAAUCUUCGUAGUUUGAUGAUUUAUCAGGAGAGAUCACUGUUGUAAAUCAGCUUGGAAUUGAGUUCCGGUCUCCAAGUGGUAGUCCCUUUACUAGGGUGAAGAUUUUGAAGUGGCUUAAGUGUUGCUGGUUUCUCUCUGCAGUGUUUAUUAGUGAUUCAAAUUGGUAUGUUUAUGAGUUCUGCUUCAAAUUUCUCCUUCCUGUCCUACCGCCAAGCCCACACACCAAUAUUGGUGUUGUUGUUUCCAUUUCUUUUAUCUGAUCUAGGUACAGAUGGGCUUUGCUGGUCUGUUUGUUUUUGCACUGUAUUGUCAGUAUAUUUACAAUUGUUGCUCGGAUUUACCAUUGGCCCCAUGAUGAUUAAUAGAAGACUGACAUGGUUGUGCUUAAAUGCGGCUGCGCCUUGCUCUUGGAAUGGCUAAUGCAGCGUUGGCUUUUUCUGUUCUGGGCGCUGAAGCAUGCUCUUGGAAAGUGGGAAUCAGGUGAAAACUGAGAUGGGCCUGCUGUUCAUGUGGAAGGGCCAUCUCUCUGCUUCCACUCUUUCUUUCUUUCUGCUUGUUGUUGCUUCUGUUGUGGUUGUCAUUGCAAUGGUUGUACUCCCUCCGUCCCGUAAUAUAAGAGCAUUUUUGACACUAGUGUAGUGUCAAAAACGCUCUUUUAUUACGGGACGGAGGGAGUACUAUUCAGGUUUUCUGCCGAUCCAUUUGGGACACUCUUUUGAUAUCUGAGGGCGAUCUUCCUGUGGGCGUGCUAUCAAACCAUCAGUAUACGCACCUUGUCUUUAUCGUGUUGUAUUAUCGUUUAAUGCGCAAUGGUGCACCGGAACCUCCCUAGGUAGAGGAGACGGUGCAUGCCUGCUCUGCUUCUGUUUGCCUUGAUGAUUGAUUGACGACACGAGGUCACUAACAUCCCUUCCCCAUCUCUGUUAUCGCCGCCUCUGCCCUAUCUGAUACAUCCCUUUGACUCUCUUUUGUGAGCUAGCAGAUUUCUUGACAACUGUUGUUGAUUUUUGAUAACCGUGAUGACCAUCUCUUGAACCAUUUUGCAAGGCCAAAUGUAUUACUAGAUCUGAAGGCAUAAGAUAACUACUACCUGACAGAUGCCACAACCCUUGCGCGGUUCAUUUUUCGGUACAUUUGUACUCUUCAUUUCAUUUCCUCUUUCCUCAGGCUCUACAGUAUGGGAUCAUGAUCUUUCUGUUUGCUGCUUUUGAAUGAAUGUUGAUGUGAUGGUCCUUCUGUGGCCCCUUCGUUCCUCCUGCUGCUGCUGGUGUCACAAGAAGUCUCCUACGGCUAUUUUCCUUUUCAAUUAUUUGGUUUUCUGGUGGUUUGAUUAUUUGUUUUGAUCAAGCCCGGUUCGGAUUUAAUUUCCUAGUUUCUUUGGUCCAUUACUAUAUUUUCGCUUGCUGCAUGGAUUUUCCCUUGGCCCAGUGAUGAUUAGGUUGAAAGCCCUAGAUAGAUAGAUUGGCUUAGGUUUGAGCUCGAAACGGGAUCAGCCGUUGCAUUCGCAAGGUUGAAGACCUGAAAUUGUGAUGCAGCGCUGGCUUCUCUGCUCUGGGCGCUGAGGCAUGUGUCUGUGGAUCAGCCGUUGCUUCUUUUUUUUUGAACCGGGCAUAACCCCUUUCCAUUACUUAACAUAACGGAAAUACAGCGUCCAAGUCUUAUCAGCCGUUGCUUCUGCGGAAGCCCUACCACUGAGUGAUGGGCCUGCUCUUGCUACAGGCGUCCCCGUCGCCGCCAUCGCCUUGCCUCCUCUUCGGUUCACCCAGACAUGCCCCAGUGCCAGCUUUGAAGCCCACUGCAUUAGCCUAUGAUGAAACUGAAAUCUGAGGGCCAUGUUGUGAUUCAGAAUUCUCGGAAUUUCAUCUGAAUCGAACUCUUUUGCAUGGUCAUACUCUAAAAUCCUACGUGGAGGAUAUGCUGCAUGCCUGCUCUGCUUCUCUGCUCCCUUUUGCCUUGCUCACGUGUACUGUUAUCGCUGCCUCUGCCCUACCUAAUACAUCCCUUGGACUCUCUGUUGUGUGCUAGCAGAUUUCAUGACUGUUUUUUUGUGUGUUGAUUUUUGAUAGAGAACCCGUGAUGAUCAUCUCUUGAACCAUUUAUGAAGGCCAAGAACCAUUUAUGAAGGCCAAAAUGUUGUACAACAUAUUCAGGAAAUCAUAAUGUCUUCGGUCGCUGCUCUCGAAUGGUGACGUUAGAUGCUCCUUGUACGUGUACUGUAGCCCCUUCACUGCUGCUGUUGCUGCUGCUGCUGCUGCAACAAGUCUUCUACAGUACUUGCAUACUUGUUGGCGCUGCCGGUGGUGGUGGGUUUGAGAGACGAUGGAUGUCAGAUUAAAGCUUUGUGCUGUCCAUGGUGCGCUAUCAUUUGUAUCUAAGUGCGUAUCGUUUCUAUUCUCUUUCAUGCCUGUCUAGAACCUUUGGGACAACUAGAUUUUUAUAACUCUAUCAAUAUCUUUUUCUGAAAUGGAAUUGAUGCCUUUUCUGGCAAGAUGCAAUAUGCUGGUGGGCACAUAUGUGACUAUUGUGUACAUCUUUGAUGUUUCAGUGAUUGGUAUGCGCCAUUACAGAUUU